GGGGGGGUUAGGAAGUGAGGUCCCUAGGGAGCUAGUAUGGAAUGGACAUGUGGUGUCCAGCUUGGCAUAUGCCAGCCACCUCGCCUGAUGGGCAGGAACCACCCUAGGGCUGCCUUAGGCAGUGUACCAUGCAACCACAAUAUCCACUUGUUGGCCAUCCAUGUUGGUGCCUAUGGGUGGCAAUGCUCUAAGGAUUAUACAUAAUAAUCUUACACACAAUGGUCACUAUAAAUAAUCUUAAAAGUGAGAGACUUAAUGUUCUGUGAAGCUUGCAUAAAACACAAUAUCAGUUUUACAGUAAAAUCAUUAUUAUUUGAGAGCUCUGACAUUGUGUGUGUGUGUGUGUGUCAGCCAUCCCCAAAUGCACUUGCAAACCAGCCAACAAGAUUAUGUUUGUUAGAUCUUGUAGACAGUAUUUUUAAUUUUUUUUUAAAACCUGUGGCUCCUAGGGCAGAG
rnacentral:lncRNA from 1 species